CCGGGGAGGGGGCCGGGAGGACCCGGUGGCGGGGAGGUGAGGGCGGACGUGCAGUUCCGGCGCACGGGGCGGGCGGGGCGGGCGGGGACAGUGCCCUUUGGUUGCGCUCGCUGCGCUGGACUCACUUCUCCCGUGGCCGCGCCCGGGUCCUUGGGCUGCACAGGCUCCGAGCUCCGGGUCUUGCGGGGCUGCGGGCUCCGACGCUCACCCUCCCUCCCCGGCGCUGAGUCCAGUGGCGGCGCCCACUGUGCGGCCCCGGGCCCCGCGCCUUUCCACCCCGGCUCAUUGUGACUGGUAUUCCUGGCAACGAGCCUAGUGGACCCCACCCGCACUGGGGUCUCAGCCUCUAGAGCCACCCUCUUUGUCCCCACCUCAGCUGGGAAGCUCCUUCCGGAGCUGUGACCUUGGGACUACAGGGAUGCGUUCCCGGAGUCUGGAUGCUGAGAGCCCGGCGCCCCCCGCUGGCCGGCUGCGGAAGGAAACCCAGGAAGGCCCAGGGGUGAUGGACACCCACGUGUCAGGGAUGUGAAUACAGAGCUCUGCAUGGCAGCCCUAGCAAACGCACUGAGCAUUAUUAGGGGUUCCUACCACCCUCCCGCCUUACUACUGAAGCGGCCAGAGACAGCACUAAUUCCGCGUCCAACAAGCAGAUGAAGUUACCUGCCCUUGAAAAAUGCCAACCACAGCUGUUCCAUCGGGUUGCUUCAGAGCUUCUGCAAACGUAUUGUACUUUGGAUUCCAGUGAACCAAAUGCAGCUGGAAACACAGAAUGCAUGUUGUAAGGCUUGAUGCAGAAGUGGUGGAUGCAGCUUCAUGGCUUUUACAUUCCUC